GUUAAUGUAGCAGAACUUGGCUAUGCAAAAGACCUAAAACCUUUCCCUAGGGGUUCAAAUCCCCUCACUAACU
rnacentral:tRNA from 1 species